AUUGAACGCUGGCGGCAGGCCUAACACAUGCAAGUCGAGCGAGCGGCGGACGGGUGAGUAAUGUCUGGGAAACUGCCUGAUGGAGGGGGAUAACUACUGGAAACGGUAGCUAAUACCGCAUACCAUCAGAUGUGCCCAGAUGGGAUUAGCUAGUAGGUGGGGUAACGGCUCACCUAGGCGACGAUCCCUAGCUGGUCUGAGAGGAUGACCAGCCACCCUGGAACUGAAACACGGGCCGGGCCCCUAGGGGAGGCGGCAGAGGGGAAAAUUGGACCAUGGGCGCAAGCCUAGUGCGACCAUGCCGCGUGUGGGAAGGGGGCCUUCGGGUUGUAAAGCACUUUCAGCGGGGAGGCGUUACCCGCAGAAGAAGCACCGGCUAACUCCGUGCCAGCAGCCGCGGUAAUAC
rnacentral:rRNA from 1 species